UCAAACUUGGUCAUUUAGAGGAAGUAAAAGUCGUAACAAGGUUUCCGUAGGUGAACCUGCGGAAGGAUCAUUACUGUAAAAGGGGGGGAGAAAUCCUCCCCGGGCGCUUGAGUUGGCCAGAGUCCCUCGUGCAAGCACUUGCGGACAAUGGCCUUCUUGAUAACCCAAACCCCUUGUCCAUGGUACCUAUUAUUUCCCUCGGUGGGCUUGCCUGCCGCGCGGGACACCCUCAAAACCUAACCUUUUAUAACUAUUUUAACCGUAUAAAUGUAAAAUCUUACAACUUUCAACAACGGAUCUCUUGGCUCUGGCAUCGAUGAAGAACGCAGC
rnacentral:misc_RNA from 1 species